UCGGGGGCAUCAGUAUUCAAUUGUCAGAGGUGAAAUUCUUGGAUUUAUUGAAGACUAACUACUGCGAAAGCAUUUGCCAAGGAUGUUUUCAUUAAUCAGUGAACGAAAGUUAGGGGAUCGAAGACGAUCAGAUACCGUCGUAGUCUUAACCGUAAACUAUGCCGACUAGGGAUCGGGCGAUGUUCUCUCUUGACUCGCUCGGCACCUUACGAGAAAUCAAAGUUUUUGGGUUCUGGGGGGAGUAUGGUCGCAAGGCUGAAACUUAAAGAAAUUGACGGAAGGGCACCACCAGGCGUGGAGCCUGCGGCUUAAUUUGACUCAAC
rnacentral:rRNA from 1 species